rnacentral:rRNA from 1 species
CAGUAGCCGCGGGAAUACGUAGGUGGCAAGCGUUGUCCGGAAUUAUUGGGCGUAAAGGGCUCGCAGGCGGCUUCUUAAGUCUGAUGUGAAAGCCCCCGGCUCAACCGGGGAGGGUCAUUGGAAACUGGGAAACUUGAGUGCAGAAGAGGAGAGUGGAAUUCCACGUGUAGCGGUGAAAUGCGUAGAGAUGUGGAGGAACACCAGUGGCGAAGGCGACUCUCUGGUCUGUAACUGACGCUGAGGAGCGAAAGCGUGGGGAGCGAACAGGAUUAGAUACCCCAGUAGUCCCUGUCUCUUAUAC